CGGAGCUGCUUUGGGCGGGGAGUUCCGUCCUCCCCCCCGCAGGGACAGCGCGCGCGCCCCGGCCCGGGCGCAGACCCACCCUCGGGGCGUCCCACUGAGGCGCGAGGCCCUGGGGGCGCCGCCCACGGGGUGUUGCCGGGGAGAGCCUCGCUGAGCCGGUUCCGGCCGCUUAGCUCUCGUCGUCCCGCUCAGCCCCGACCCGGGCGGCCCGGCCUGGGGCCGUUGGGGGAAGUAACCGGCUUUUCCCGGGAGCCUCUUCAAACCCGCCCCUGCUCAGUGCUCACCCACCGGCUUGGGGAGAGUCGUCUUCAGUCCCUGCCCUCCUCUCUUAGCGGCCGCGGGUCUCUCAUUUAGCUCCGCCAGAAACUUUCACCUCGCCAAGAGCUGCUGCGGUAGCUAAGAAUCCGGGGGGUCUGUCCUAGAGCCAGCAACGCUGGGGGCGGCCAGAGUCUUUUGUCUCUUUCACAUUUGUUUUCUUGGGGGAUUCUUCUAGCCAAAGGACAAGGCAGGCAGGCAGCUGAAAACAGAUGUUAUUCGGGGCGCUUCUUAAAAUUCCCUCUGAGGCAGGACAGCUCUUUAAUGGGAAUGCAGUCUGUUAUUUACAGAGACUUUUCCUGGUUGGGGUCAAGAAUCAAACUGGUAAUUUAGAAACAACCCAUGGCCUCCGAAUGUUGGCUAACCAUCCAGGUCAAAAGGGGUAACAAUAACCAUUGCCCUGACAAAGGGUGAAAAGGUGGUUUUCAUGGUGAGCCUCCUUGUAUCUAAGAGGUAGUGCUUCGUCAUUCAAAGGCUGCUCUAAAAGUGUUUCCAUCCCUUUUUUCUGAAGGUAACUUUUUCCUCUUCAACUGGAUUGGAUAUUGAAGUAUUCUAAGCCUCCUAAAUAAUUUUCAGAAAAAGCAAGACUAAUUAACUGCCUUAUUUUUAUUUUGUGAUACAGUCACAAAGCCCUGCUUUUGUCUUGUCUUUUUUCAUUAUAACUCUUUGGAACUAACUGUGUUAACCAUAUAUAUAUAUAUGUAUAUAUAUUGGCUUGCAUAAAGACUGUUUACAUUGCUAUAAAGGUUCCUAUGGCAAAUUCUGCCUGAAUGUUUAUGA